rnacentral:rRNA from 1 species
GACGAACGCGGGCGGCGUGCCUAAUACAUGCAAGUAGAACGCUGAAGGAGGAGCUUGCUUCUCCGGUGAGUUGCGAACGGGUGAGUAACGCGUAGGUAACCUGCCUGGUAGCGGGGGAUAACUAUUGGAAACGAUAGCUAAUACCGCAUAAUAGCAGUUAUUGCAUGAUAACUGUUUGAAAGGUGCAAUUGCACCACUACCAGAUGGACCUGCGUUGUAUUAGCUAGUUGGUGGGGUAACGGCUCACCAAGGCGACGAUACAUAGCCGCCUGAGAGGGUGAUCGGCCACACUGGGACUGAGACACGGCCCAGACUCCUACGGGAGGCAGCAGUAGGGAAUCUUCGGCAAUGGACGGAAGUCUGACCGAGCAACGCCGCGUGAGUGAAGAAGGUUUUCGGAUCGUAAAGCUCUGUUGUAAGAGAAGAACGAGUGUGAGAGUGGAAAGUUCACACUGUGACGUAUCUACCAGAAAGGACGCA